rnacentral:lncRNA from 1 species
GGAUAUAUAUGGCUGUAAUAAGCUGACAUCCUUACAUAGGGAUGUCGCAUCCAUGUCAAGGGCUUCCUCCAUAGUAUUUGGUUCAGCCAUGGAAGGAGGGUUAACCUCUAAGGUGCAAGGCCUGGCUCCUUGUGUGAGGCAUCACACUUGUCCUUGUCGAGGUUGUUUUACUUCCUUGCAAGGGGUGGCUUUUUCGUGUAAGGACUUCCUCCAUACGUUUGAUCCGGUUAUGGAAGCUUUGUCUUUAUAGAUAUUAAAGUGGGUCCACCCAUCUCCUUAUGAAGCGAUAAAUGACAUCCUUGCAUGGUGGAUGAUUUAUCCAUGCAGGAGAUAAUAUAAACUCUCUGAAGAUAAGGAGAUGUGAUAUAACUGAAACAGAAGCAAAACUCUAAAAAAUAGGUAGUUGUAAUGCAAGCAAGGAAUGAAUGUCGAGCCGAUGGAUCGUCUCGAACUAUCAAAGUCUUAUAAGCAAGCUUCGAGAUGACAAGGUCUUAAUAUUAAGCUAGACGAUACUGAGAAGUGAGAAAUAACUAUCUCGCGAAGUGAGGAAUAAGCAUCUCGCAAAGUGGGUAAUAAAUAUCCCGUUAAAUUAUCGAACUAUCGGAGUCUCAUAAGACGCCUUGGACAGAUGAGGUGUCACGACUCGUCCCAAAACGCUCUACUGGACCUGACACAUGUCAUGUGCCAAUAGUAGAUACUAGUUAAGUGUGACCUACCACAAUGACAAUCUUGACUUGCUUUGAGUAUGACGAAUUUUUAAAAUAAUUUUGACAAAACUUCUUUUAAAAUAUGGACUAAAAUCAUCUGAACAGAAAUCAAUUUUCUCAAACCUGUUCAUACAAUUUUAAAUAAGGCACACUAUUCCCUCAAAAUACAAAUAUUGAAAAUAAAAUGCUGGCAAAUCGAUAUUUACUAUACUUUACAAACAAAAGUCCCCUAAAGCACUAAGGAUACCAAAUGUACAAUGAGCCCAUGAUAUGUAUACAUGAUUUGCUAAUUAACUUUUCCAACAAAACAUACAUGUAUUCCAAAAGAAAUAUGAACUAUGUAGACUGUCAAAAUGAGUCAUACAACUAAUGACAAUGUGUGUGGCUCAACUCGAUAGAUUGACAGGUUCCAAUGAUGCUCAACUCAACGACUAUCUGAUAAGAAAAAGGGUAACAAAGUAUGAGUUUGUAGCUCAAUGAGUAAAUAGUUUGCACAUAAGUAUAUUUUUCAGUUUAUGCAUAUUUUCUAAAAAUUCUUACUCUAUUAAACUUUGAAAAAUUCUGAAAUCUGAUAAUACUUAUUAAAACUAAAACAUGAUUGUAUUGUAAAAUCCAUUAUUCUUUAUUCUAGAUAAGUAACUAUAAGGUAUAAUGGAUAUAAAUAAUCUGAUAUCAGUAGAUAUGAGUAGUAUUCUAAAAGGCGUAAUACUUGACGAUGCGUGGAGACUAAGCUAUAGGCUAAGCGAGCUUACGCGAGGCAUAGGUGUAAAAAGCAUAAAAUGUGUUUUCUUAUUUUAAUUUUUAAUCAAUCGAAAAAUCGUUUAAUAAUUAAGAAUAAUACUUGCCAAACAUUUAAAACAAAUUUAUAGAAAAUUUAUACAUUUUUUUCAAAGUUUUCAACAAAAUGAUAAGUUCCAAAUAUAAAUAUUAAAUAGUAAAUAAAUAGAAAAUUUUGGAAAAUUUUCUUUGUUCAAGGCUUUAAGCGACUAUUUUGAAUUUGGAACUGAUAAAGUGAAAAAAUCAACAUUCAAGUUUUAAUUUCGAAGAAUUGUUAAAAAAAAUUAAAAAAAGUUAAAAAAUGAUAAUUAUGUGUUUCUAGGUGUGCAUAUUCACGCUUAGGCACGCAUUAGCGGUUUGUUGACUGCUGAAUAAGGUGCCAACCACUUGGCUUAGCAUUUCCAUCAUGCAUCGCGCAUUGAUAGCGCAUGGUCACCUUUUAGAAUAGUUGAUAUGAGUGAAAAUAUCAUUUACAAUAUUAUAAGCUAAAAUCAUUACUCUGUAAACUGAAUAAACAAAAUUCGAUAGUCUAAAAUCUGACAAACUAUAUAAUACUAAAAAAUCGUACAAAAAAGUACUCGGAAUAACCUUACUCAUGUAUCGGUUAGUACCGAUACAUAUGGAAAAGUUAUUUAAUUCUGAAAUUCUGGUCAUAUGUGCACAGAGCUGCCCGAUGACUAUAAUAUGGUCAUACACUAUAGAAACACAUUCAUAAUAGUAUACAUUGGGUAAAAUUAUCAUAACUAGUCAUACAUUGUGAAAACGUAUUCUCAUCGAUGCAAAGCAGGUAAAAUAAUCAUAUGGGGUCAUACACUGUGGAAACACAUUUACACAAGUGCAAACUAGGGUAAAAUCACCUGAGUCAUUUCUGAUGGUUUUAAAAAUAACUUUAAAUAUGCUGAAAUAUUUAAAAUUGAAAUAAUGAGCCAAUGAAAUGGUUUAACUGAAUUGAAUUUAACUUUUAGAAGAAUUACUUAUUAAAAAAAUAACUUUAUUAUGAAAAUAACAUUUUCUAAAUCAAUCAUCUGAAAUUACUAACUUUUGCAGUUUAUAUGAUUUACUAGAAGAAAUCUAAAGAACAAUUUUCUUCGUCUAAGCUUGAGAACUAAUAUAAUUUAAAUAAAUGCUUAUUUUCGAAAAGUAGAUAACCAGUCACUCAAGACAAGCUACAGGCUAUGAAGGUCAAUAAGUUUUUCUAAGCUUUUAAGCCACUACUUGAAAUAAAGAUAUAAUUACUCAAAUUAAAAUCUUGACAAUUAAAUUAAUACAAAUCUUCUACUUAACUCCUCAACUUUUAUAUUUACUCUUGCAUAUCCAUUUCACCCGCUUUUCUGCUCUUUGAUUAUUUACCAACCAAUUAUCACACAUAAUCAAAUCAAUUUAAUUACUAUUCUUUGUUAAAAUCACUAACUUGUACAUAUACAACAACUCCUACACAUAACUUAAUCCAUUACCUAGGUUUCAAAUUUGUAACAUUUGAGAAAAACAAAUAUUUAACCAAAAUAACACUAAAAUUUCAGAUUAUUGAAAUAUGGCAUCUGUUUUGUGUAUUUUGAAAUUUAUCACCGACCAUUGACAGAAAUAGCACUUCUCUUGCAUAAUUUCGAAAAUAGCACCUGUCUUCCAAUAGAUUGAAAAUUGCUUUUUUUUUUUUUUUUAAAAAAAAAAUGGAGAAAUCAAAUCCCAAGUCCUUAAUUUUAAGUAUUUAACAUCAUAUAAUCACAAGAAUGUCAAAGAACAUGUCUUUAUUUCAUAAACUCAUUUUCAAAGUUUCACUUUCUUCAACUUCAAUAUUCAAAUAUACAUAUUUCUUAGCUAUAUUCUUAAUUAUAACCUCAAAUACAUAUCAAUAAUACCUAAUUCUAGCUAAGCUUUGAAUUGAAACAAAAUUCACAUAAACCCUAAAAAAUUUAAUUCAAUAUACUUAUCCUUACCUCUUUAAAUCAAAUGAGAAAUUGAAAAAAUAAAGCACCCAAUCUUGAAAAUCCACUUCUUCUUCUUCUUUUCCUCUUCCUUUUCUCUAUUUCCUCCCUUCUCUUUUCUUCUCUCUGCCUCUAUUCUCUCUCUCUCUCUCUUUUUUUUUC